ensembl:lncRNA
GUCAGUGAACUCUCACUUGAGAGAUGUAGAAUCCAAUGACCUCUUUCUGAGAAGCAGAGUAAAAUCCCUUUAUUCUCCUUGGCAUAAUAUAAUUCAAAAUUUUGUAUUUCUCUGUGUACAUUUGUAUAAAAUGCUAUAUCCCCCAGAAGUUAAUUCAGAUGAAAUCAACACUAAAAUAAUAAUAAUUACAGACAUAAUGUUGAAAAAUUAGCACUUCACUUUCCUGUUGAUCAACAUGAAACAGAAAUCAUUAAUUUUUUUAAAAAAAGAGAUUUGAUAGUUCUAGAAGCUUAUGGGUACUAAACAAUAGGUAGAAAAAAGACUUUAAAUAUGUGAUCUGUUUAUGAAAGAACUUCACAGUGAUUUGCUAGGAAACCUACUUUGUUCUUAAUUAAGCAAUAAAGUCCAGGAGGAUCACUUUAAUCUUGCAAAUAUUUAUCUAGUCAGUUUAAGACUUUUCUUCUUAGAAGUAACCUUGUGCCAAACAAGAAUAUUUUCAGUGAGCCCCUAAAUCCCCAAGCUCAUUAGCAUAGAAUGAAUGAGCUUUGGAUAUAUGAAAGAAGGUGUGAGCGUGCUUAACACAAAGAGUUCCGGAGCCUUUGUAUCAGAAGCACAGUUCUGACUCUAAGGCACUGAGCUAUGUGCACUGACUUUCAAGUACAUCUAUUGAGGCAAUGAGUAAAACCUGCUGCUGCUGCUGCUGCUGACUUCAUUUCAAGGCUGAAGCCAGGACUUGCUUCUUUUGGGGAUCAUGAAAAUGAAACUAAAAUCCCACCAUGUUUUUGAGGUUGUCAUUUGAGAAGGCAUUCUAUUGCAAAGUUUUACUAGGAAUUCAUGUAAUGAUGUUCAAAAUGUCUUCUUUGGGAAUAAUCAGAAAGGGAGACUUUCAAACACACUUUGUGAUGCUAGCUUUUAAAAAUAAAUGCUCUUCAAUGAAGAUAAUGCGUAAAUGGUAGUCACACAUCCCAACAAUCACUAAAAUCACCAAACUUCUAAAGCCUCAAAGGAAGUGUUUCACCACACAAGAAGUUAAAUAUGCUUUGUUGAUAAUUUACACUUUAGGUCAUAGUUUCAUCAGUCUGUUCACUUAAUUUCCACAUCCUACUUGCUCAGGAGUCAAUGUACUAGGGCAGAAUAGUGCAACCAGAGAAGCCUGUUCAACCUCUUUUCUCAAUGAGUCUCUGGUCCAAUGGCAAACACAGAAAGAAAACGGCAUUUACACAAAAGCCUAGUUGCCAUCUGCAAGAUGGAGAACAGAAAGCAUUCAAGUGUUGGAGCCUGGCAGACUUGAAAUCAAAUCCUACCUAGACGUUGGCUAGCUCAUCCUACUUCCUCCUCAAUUCAACAAGAGCCUUCCAUGCCUCUGUGGAAAGAACUUGUCUGAGGAUUAAUGGGAAUAAAGUUUGGGAAAGGCUUGGCAGGAAGUAAUCAAAUCGACCACACAAAACUGACUACAGGAAGUAUUCAAAUAGAACACAAAAAACUGACUAACAAAAUUUGGCAGUGAGAAACUUUUCCUCUAUUGAGUUUAAAAGAUACUCAAUAGUAAAAUUACUUGAAAGCAAAAGCUAAAAUAAUUUACUUAGUUAAUGAAAAAGUUAUCUUAUUGAGAAUACAUGUAUAUUGGAUUUUGUUAUCAAGUUCCUGGUCUAUUCUCAUGGUUCAUCCAAUUUCCGCAGAGGAGAAAAACAUUAAAUAAUGUUUUCAUUGCCUUAGGGACAACUAGCUGUUAUAUUCAAACCAACAAAGCCCACAGAAGGCAAAACUCAAAAUAUACACAUGGAGUUACUUGCUCCUAAGUAUUAGAAAACAAGUUUAUAGAAUUAAAAUUAUUUAGGUAAAAACAAUCGAUAUAAAUUUGAACAAGGGUAAUACAGUUAAGGCAAUCAUCAAUAGUUUAUAAGAACAAAUCCUUGUUCACUAGGAUUGUGGGGUAAAGCAAAGGUGUUAAUCUUCAUUACAGUGCUUUACACAUAUUGGAUUUUCUUUAAGGUUUAACUGUACCCUAAAGAUAUUUAAUAGAUGGUUUGAUUUAUACGUGAUAUUAUGAACAAUGACAGUCACACACCUUGCAUAGCCACAGCCACUGAUGAUGCUCAUUUAAACCCUAGACACUUGAUUCUGAGCAUUUUGGUGGACUGCAAUUUCCUUUAAUACAACCUUCCUUGGGAGAAGGUUUCAGGAUGUCGUGUAUAGCCUAAAAUACCAAUGAGGAAGAGAAUCUACCUAUGGUCUCUUGUGAUAUUAAGAAAGAAAACUGCCACGUGUGGUAGCACAACCUGUAACCUCAGCAACAGCAACAAAAAUAAAAGAGAAAGAGGGAAGGAAGGAAGAGGAGAGGGAAGGAAGCAGGGAGAGAGGAAACAUAACAGAGGGCAUAUCUUAAAAUGAAACAGUUAAACAAAUUCAUGAUGAGGAGACUUGAGAGGUUUAAGGGACUAUUGCAAGUCUGCAUCAGAAUCUGCAGAGCAUACGUGAGAGUGGCUCUGAGGGCGAGCCUAUGGAUGGGGAGUUGAGGAAGGGGAGGUGUUAGUGCACAUGCAUGCAGUCAUGUGUCCUUCAUUCCUCUGGUUAUUGGAAGCAAAUGAACUGCUUGAGAAGUUUUGCUGCAGAGUGGAUAGGACAUCUCCAAGUGGUUUUGAAUCUACAUUUAAGGGCUCAUAAAAGUGUUUCAAUACUCAAUGAGAACUUAACGAUUUCUUAUUCUUUAUCCUUUAGCUUAGUUCUGAAACAUCAGUUAAGAGCAUAAAUCACUCAGCAACCAAGUGUAUCAUGCACUGAGUUUGGAGACGUUGGAGAGUUCUUUCACAGAUGUAUGUCUCCAGGGCUAAGUGAACCUGCUUUUCUACAGGCAUUAGACAACAGCAGGAGUGGUGGAGCCGUGGGGACUGUGGAGACUGAAAGCAGUGAGGACUUCCAUGAACUGGACCGGCCAGUCCAUAUAAUCUAAGCAGCAGAUUUUUGCCUGGGGAAAUAUGAGGGCCAGUGUAGCAAUACGUAACAGGUUUUAGUGCCUUCAAGUGAAGAAAAGAUUUCUUUUAUAUAUAUUUUUAUUUAAAUUAGAAACAAUCUUAUUUUACAUAUCAAUCCCAGUUCCCUCCCCCUUCCAUCUCUCCCAUGCCCUCCUCCAUCCCACCCUACCAUCCACUCCCCAGGAAAAGUGAGGACUUCCAUGGGGAAUCAUCAAAGUCUGCCACAUCAUUUGGGGCAGGGCCUAGGUCCUCCCCUUGUAUCUAGACUGAAAGAGUAUCCCUCCAUGGGGGAAUGGGCUCCCAAAGUCCAUCUGUGCACUAGGAAUGAAUACUGGUUCCACUGCAAGAGGCCCCAUAGACUGCCGAGGCCUCCUAACUGUCACCCACGUUCCUUCAGGGGGCCUGGUUUGGUCCUAUGCUGGUUCUCCAGCUAUCUGGCUGGAGUCCAUGAGCUCCCACUUGCUCAUGUCAGCUGUUUCUGUGGGUUUUCCCAGCCUGGUCUUGACCCCUUUGCUCAUCACUCCUCCCUCUCUACAACUGGAUUCCAGGAAUUUGACUCAGUGCUUAGUUGUGGGUGUCUGCUUCUGCUUCCAUCAGCUACUGGAUGAAGGCUCUAGGAUGGCACAUAAGAUAGUCAUCAAUCUCAUUAUAGGGGAAGGGCAUUUAAGGUACCCUCUCCACUAUUGCUUAGAUUCUUAGUUGGUGUCAUUCUUGUGGAUCUCUGGACAUUUCCCUAGUGCCAGAUUUCUCUUUAAACCUAUAAUGGCUCCCUCUAUUAAGGUAUCUCUUUUCUUGCUCUCCUCUAUUCAUCUCCCAACUCAAUCUUCCUGAUCUCUCAUGCUUCCCCCCUUCUCUUCUCCCCUCCUCCUUCUCCUACCUCCCACCCUCUUCCCCACCCCACCCCUGUGCUCCCAAUUUGUUCAGGAGCUCUUGUCCCCAAAAGAUUUCUUUAUCAUUAUAAAAUUAUGAAAAUAAACAAACAAAACUCAGUUAAGGAUCCAGUCUAUGGCUAUCUUCAUUGUCACCAGUUCUACUGACCUUUUUUUCCAGGGCACAUGGUGAAAGGAAGAAAUUCAAAUAAAAGUAGAUUUCUAAAUGGUUGUUUUUUAAUUUUUAUAUGCAUUAGGUUUAGGUGUUAUGUUGCAUAUAUGUAGUCCCAUCUGCUUGGAAGGCUAAGGUGGGAAGAUCUCUUGAGUCCAGAAGGUCAAGGACAGCCUGGAUAAGAAAAUUUCAUCUGCGUCCAACACAGUGCCAAUAGUGUAACAAACGCAUCAACUUCUAAGAAGCCAGAUGAGAGACUACAUAUGAGUAACCUCAGGCAACCUGCCUGAAUUGUCCACAACCCACGAUGAAAAUUGAAAUCCUUUCCAAGAACCUUGACUCACGCAUACAGACCUAAGAUCCAGCUAGGUUUAACUUUUACUUCUCCGCGCACCACGGCAUCAAAAUUCAUUUCCCCAAAGAGCAAGGCAAUGCCAGAUUCCAAAAGAAGAGAAAAACAACCGGGUCAAGAAACCUUCCCACAUCACAAGCACGCUCAAACGCAGCGAGCUCACGUCCGAGGGGCACGGCGCUAGGUGGCAGAAGAGAGCCGGAGACGCGCUAGGCCGACUGCAGCAGCCGCUGAGCAUCUCUUCUAGUUCCUUCCCACUUUACCCUGGCUCAGGCCUCAAAGGCUCAGCCGAAUUCUAACAACAGGUUCUUCAUUAAGGGGUACACUGCUACGAGAUAAACAUGGCUUUUUCAGCCGCUCAAUUGCAUCCUAUUUGAAGAGAUUAUGCCCAUAUUCCAGGCUCCUUUGCUGUACAACGCUGUUUAGCAAACCAGUUCAAAACCCUGGCCCCACCCGGCACCCCUUCCCUCAGCAACACAAGCACAUCUAGGUGAGUUUCGAGGUUUAGGGUCAUCUAGAGGCUGAAUUACUUACAAAUGUCGCCUCCCCAAGAUGCACUGAGCUUCAGGAUGGAACCUCUGCUCCGGAGGCAGCCCCCACUGGACCAGACAUCAGCUGAAGCCGCCCUAAGGCUUGAAUGAGGUCCUCACGAGGAGGAAUGCUAGGCCUUCCAGAUGUGCAAACCUCAACUAUUUGGUUUCUUAGGCAGCGGGUAUUUGAGUGGUUUCAGUGGCGUCCAAAUCUUCCAAACCCUUUCCUUAGCUUCAAAAGGGUACCAGGGCUUUCUUAAAGGGUUGUAAGGACUAAAGAAGGUAUGGGAUCCAUCGAUGAGUGUUUUGUGUGACAAUUGGUCACACUACUCAGUAAAUGUAGCUAUGGUUAUCAUCUCCCAAAUGAGACAGGAAGCAGGAAGGUUUUCUGAAGCAAGGUCCAGUCCUCAUUGACCUCACUAUUACCACUCUCGUUAUGCCCCCACCCCCACUCCAGGCUUUUGUUAGAUGGGGUGAAUUUGGUGUUUUCACCUGGAUGUGAUGAAAUGUCUUGCUUCUACAGUAUCUAUGGCAUAAUCUUCCCGGCUCCUGCUACAGGAAGCAGAUCCUGUGCUUUUGACAUGUGUCUCCAUCACUUAGAGCUAUGAAAUCCAGGGCAGCUGGCUUCAUCCUCCCGAGCUGCGUUUCACCAUCUGAAAAUGGAGGACAGCAUGAGGACUUUUCUCGAUAGGUCAUUUAUGAGACUGAGACGGCUAACUGUCACAGAUGACGUGAGAAGUCAGCAGAUGUUAGGUGCCGGCAGGGUUAGAUUUAUUAUGCCCACACGUCCACUCUCAGAGCUUGUGGGGCUAAGGUGGGCUUCUUAUGGUGACUAAGGAACGAAUUGGACCUGGCUUCUGGAAUCAUACUUCCUGGUGCUUCAAGCUCUUGAUGCAAAGGCAACACAUAGUUUAAUGAUGUUAGUUUAACCUGGGGGAGAAUCUAGGACGGAGAAAAUGCCCCUGUACCAUUACAGUUUGAAACAAGGGGUAUUGUGCUGCAGAUACGUGAAGCUAAAUCUCAGCUUUACUACUUAGUCCCCAGAUAACUUUGUCAAAGUUACAAUAUUCUCUCUGAACUUCGCUUUCUACAUUUAUAAAAAUAGGGAUCAUUGUAAACCCUGCAUAAUCAAGAAUGAAGAUUACAUGCAGAAAUCCACUUGAAAUGCUAGACAAGUUCCAGUAAAGGUUUGCUUUAUUAGUCAUGCUGGUAUUAAUACAUCUAAUAUUGCCAUCAAGCCUUGGAGAUAGGGAGAGCAUUCUGAAUGUAGCUCUUGCAUUAUGACUAGGAUUUGGAUAAAGCCAAGGAAAUCUGCUGGCAAGAAGAACAAACCACAAGAAAGGGGGAAAGUCAGCAGCAGCCACCGAGUAGCUGAGUUUGGACUCACUGAACACUUCAGGGUGUGUUUAGGAUGUCAUCUUUCUCAAUUAUUUGGGGCUGCAGUUUUUCCUGGGAAGAUGGACUAUUCAUGGGGAAACUAGGGAAGUCAGGAAAUAAGAACCUUGUUCAUUCAUUCAUUAGAGAAUUUGUGCUCCAAACACACAGAUACCCUAAAGUUCAUGAGAAUAACUGAAAAGGACAGGGAGAAACCAGCAAGACUGAAGACUCAGUGGGUAGAAACACGGAGCAUACGACCUGCCGCCCUGAGCUCAAUGCCUAGAACUCAUACAGAGGUGGAAAGGAAGAACCGAUUCCACAGUGUUGUCCUCUGCCCUCCGCACACACAGUGAUAAUGAAACAGUGAACAUUUAAAGGAGACUGUUUGAACUGGGGGGUAACUGCUUAAAAGAGAGUUUCAGGAAAUCAGAGAUUAAGAUGAGAGCAUUCUCCCUUCCUCAUUGCUGUUCCCAUAGUCCUUUGUUUGUAUCCUUCCUCUAAUGUUACAGCUGUGUUAAAUAUUAGUGUGUCCUCGAAAGCCUGCAAUCGAAUGUCCUUGAUGCAAAUAUGGCAUCUUUACCAUCUUAUCUCCAUGUUGUCUUGUGUAAUGUAACCUCAAUAUGUUUUGUAUUGAAUCGAAAACCUAUGAUUCUAUGCAAUAUUUGCUGUUCCUCUUUGCUCAAAAAUUGAACAUCAGGUUUCUGUGUGCCGAGUGAUUUUUCUUCUGGUGACAUAUAAAGUCAAUCCAUUAAAACAUUGAUUGGAAAGUCUGCACAUGCUCCUCUCUGUUAGUGAAGAAAGUUUUCUUCUUGGUUCCUUCAGCUAGCAAGUGCUUAGUAAUGUGGUGGUCCCUGGGACAGAGACAAAGAGCUGAUGUUCUCCACUUUGUUAAAGGACACAGUCCAAUCCCCAUGAAGCAGAGUAAUGGGUAGAAAGACUACACAACCUUCAAAUGGGCUUAAAGUUAUUUUCAAAUGCUUAACUACUGAUUGGGGAGGUCCUUCUGUGUAUGUUUAUCUUAUUGGUUGUUGAAUAAAGCACUGUUGGCCAAUAGGGGAGGAAAAUAGCUGGGACUAGGAGUCGAGGAGAAUUCUGGGAAAUGUAGGAAAGAGAAGUCUUGUGAUCCAGGCAGGAAGUAACAUAACAGGCAGACUCAGAAUAUAAGCAGGGACAAUCAGAAAGUUGAUCUCUUCCUCUUCCUCCUCCUCUCUGUGGAGCUGCCAUGUGAUCCCAGGAAGGCAGGACGCUUUCCACCAGCAUCCUCCAUAAGAUAAGUCUUAUAAAAUAUAAAGAUUAGUAGUUAUGGUUGAUAAAUAAGACUGAGUUAACAUUUAAGAAAUCCUAGUUAUUGGCCAGCAGUAUUG